rnacentral:SRP_RNA from 1 species
GCCGGGCAUGGUGGUGCAUGCCUGUAAUCCCAACUCCUCAGAAGGCUGAGGCGGGAGGAUUGCUUCAGCCCGGGAGUUUGAAGCUGCAGUGAGCUACGAUCGUGCCACUGCACUCCAGCCUGGGCAACAGAGCAAGAUCCUGUCUCAG